UACGUAGGGGGCGAGCGUUGUCCGGAUUCAUUGGGCGUAAAGAGCUCGUAGGCGGUUCAGUAAGUCGGGUGUGAAAUCUCCGUGCUCAACACGGAGCGGCCACCUGAUACUGCUGUGACUCGAGUCCGGUAGGGGAGUGUGGAAUUCCCGGUGUAGCGGUGAAAUGCGCAGAUAUCGGGAGGAACACCAGUAGCGAAGGCGGCACUCUGGGCCGUGACUGACGCUGAGGUGCGAAAGCGUGGGGAGCAAACAGG
rnacentral:rRNA from 1 species